rnacentral:lncRNA from 1 species
UUAGCUUGCAGGGCAGACAGGAACGCAGGCAACUUUACUUUACUUUACUCUCUUCUCUUGCUAUUCUUGCAUCCUCCUUUCCUUCUGCACAGCUUUGAAACAGUCGACGUCAUUUCUCUCGCGCUGUUCGACUUGCUUCCUUUUGUAUUCGGCUUCUUAAGGCCUACGAACCACUGUGAAGCAGUUUGCAUUUGUGGGCGUGCUCGUUUUUGGUCAGUCCACUUUGCAGCUGUAGCGCGACACUCCCUCUCCAGCACCCUUCAGCCUAUGCCGGCUUGUGCUUUGGAAUUCGACACCGCUAUGGAAUAGGAUUCUGGCGGUUCAGGAGCGUCGCCGUGGAGUUGGCGACAUUUCGCUUGUCGGCAUUUUAACAUCUCGGCGAGCACCACACUUCACCCGCUUGGAGCAGGCGGCGUAUCAACCUUUGUGGUUGGUCAUUUGCAUCCGCGCGUGCAAGCAGGGUGCUUUGGGUGUGGCGGUCAGGGGAGCCCUGCAGCACUUGGCUGUUUCUUUGGGGUGUGGCUCGUCUUCGUGCCCUUGUUGCCUGGCGCCCGGCUGCCUGGCGCCCGCCCUGCUGUGAUGCCCUGUGAGUGCUGAUCUUGGGUAGCUAUGCAGUUGCUGGGUGAUCCUGGUCGGUUCCGCCUGGUGUCUCAGCGCAGCCAAGACACCAGGGGCCAACACCAGCCAUGCAGCACACACGCCCACGGCGCGGCCGCAGCAGCACAUGCCGUGCCGUGUCGCACAAAGCCUCAGGGCCCCAGCCUGCCUACCUACCCAGUCCUUCUGGUGCUGGCGGCAAAGCUGGCCUACCACUUCAGCUUCCUCAACCCGUCGCCUGCGCAGCUGAAGGAACUCACCGACCUGGUGGACCACUUUGCUGCGCGCUCCAUGCACGCUGAGGACGCCAGCCUGGUGUCGCAUGGGAACCCGCUCCUGCUGCCCAAGCGGGAAACGGCCUGUCUGCCGUACAAGGAUGGGGGUGUCAACCACGUCGACCUGCCUGCGUUCCUGUCUGCCCUGCAAGCUAAGACUUUCGCCCUCCUUGCCCAGCCAGGCCGGCAACCCUGGAAGACGCUCACCCGGGCGCUGCUUACCCAUGUGCGCCCAGACUCCGCCACCACGUGGGCGUGGGUGUACAGCGACGCGCCAGCGCCAGCGGGGCUGCCUGCCCGGCUGGCGGCCGCGGUCGGCCACGUGCGGAGCGCGGGUGUGGAACAGCAUCCGCCGCAGCCAGCCACUCAGCCGCCAGCGGCGCCGCCACAGUGGAGGGUUAGCCUGGACCAGCUGUGGGUGGCUAAUGCUGCGGGGGCUGUGUCCUACGUCCACUACACGGGGCGGCUCUUGGAGCCUGGACCUGGCGUGCUGCCCCCGGCGGUGGAUGGGGCGUGGCAGCCUGCCUGUGUGCUGCAGCACCGCAAGCCGCGGCACCUGUGGACCUUUGAAGAGCGGGCGGCGUACGAUGCAGCAUCACCAGGGGAACGGGCGGGGGCGUGGCCUCGGGCGCCGUACUUCCUGGCGCCGGAGGCUGGGGUGGUGGUGCACCCGGAGCACUGCCGGAUUGCGGGUGUCAGCUUGGCGGACUACACGGUGCGGGACGUGCGGCGGGCCAUCACCGCGGCUAACCCGGCCGCACCUCCUGCUCCGGCCCGCCCCGCAGCCAUGCCGUGCCCGGCGCCAGCACAGCAGGCGGGGGGUUCGGGGACCCAGCCGGCGGCACAGUCGCGGCUGGCGAAGCGGGAGGCGGAGUGGCAGCGUGCAGCGGCGCAGCUGACCACCACGGCGGCGCAGCACUUCAACAAUAACCCGGUGGCUCUGGACCCCUGGCUCCACCGCACCUCUGCGGCAGCCGGGCUGCAGAACACGCCGGCGCGAGAACUGCAGUCGUAUGCGUCCCCGUCCCAGCAGUCAGGUGAGGGGCCGCGGCGGUCCGCGCGGCUGCAGGAGCAGGCGGCGGGAGGGGCGGGACCUAGCACGGGGCCUGCCACGGCGGCGGCGGCAGCAGCGGCGGCGGUGGAGGGCGACCCUCGCAUGCCGCCCCCGGAUGCGUCCCUUCUGCGGGGUACGUGGCGGAGGCUGUGGGACAGCCACGCUAGUCGGGGGGCAAAGGUGCUGGUGUACCGGCUGCAACAUGCUUACCUGCCUUGCGGGCUGUACAGGGCGGGCAAGGGAAUUCGUCCACGGGUGACCACGGGGUGCGGGGGGUUGGGGGCGCACUGUCCUCACCCCGCCUGCGGGCCACCUGGCCCGCGGGCGUGGGCCAGCCUAACGCACAUCUUCCUGGAGUGUCCAGCUUAUGCGCAGGCGAGGACGUGGCUGCAGCAGCUGUGGGCCUGCGUUGCGCCCCAGGCAGCGGCGCCGCCAGUGACGGACGCGGGCUUCAUGCUGGGGGACCGCAUGGGUAUGUGGGCCUCAGGCCCGCGGGGGGCGGGCGCGCUGCUGUGGAGCACUUUGCGGGCCACCUUCUUGUACGCCGUCUGGUGUGCAUACUGGUCCCGCGAGCCUGCUAAGCAGACAUCGGAGCAUGUGGUUUGGGAGGUGGUCAGCGAGCUGCGCAGGGUGAUGCAGCUGCGUUUCACUGCCGCCACGCUAACCCCUGAAACCCUGUCGGCUCUGCCCACACAGCUUCUCACCGCGCAGCUCAAGGCGGCUAAGCUGGAGCACUUUGUUGCCAUCUGGACGGCGGGUGGCGCGCUUUGUGAAGUGGAGGCGGUUCAGGGUGGGUCACCGAAGUUGAACUUGCGGCUGACGCUUGCAUCACCUGUGCAGGCCCCCUAGGUUUCCUUUUGGGCGGCGUUUCUUUCCAGGCGCUGGCGUGGUGUACUAUCGUCAUCAGCUUAUCUGGCGCCCAUGUGUUUUAGCUCUGGCUGGCGUCACAGCGCCUGGGCGGCUGUGGGCCUUCCUGCACAGCGCGUCUUGCAGCGGGCUGGAGCCCGCUUACUCAGCGCCACAUCUGGCCCGAUUAGUCUUCUGCUUGUGUCUCCUCUGCCGGUUCUCCUGGGGUGUUCCUUAAGCAACCGACUUGUGGGGGUGGGGUGGGUUUGGGCGGGGCGAGUGCGUAGCGCUGGUGUUUUCUUUUCUGGCGCGCGGUGGUGGUGGUUCUUGCGGCUAGGCUGUGGUGUAGGUUGGUGCUUGGGUUAGGUCUGGCGGUGUUUUGUUGCAACCCCUCCCGGGGGGCGGGGGGGCCAGCCUCCUGCUCUGUCUGCCGGGUCGGGGUGGGGUGGGGUGGGGUGGGAUGGAUGGGGGUGGUUGGUGGCGGUUUCGAGGUGUUUGCUUUCUGUCUUCUUCUCUUUUCUUCUCUUCUUGCCCUGUCAGGGUUCUGGUCUCGGGGACCAGGCUGUUUUCAGGCAGCAGGGGGGCAGCGCGUCUGCCCCUGUUCAACCUUGUAAGGAUGAUUCCUCACAAAAAAAAAAGGCAGGUCGACGUGGUUGACACCCCCAUCCUUGUACGGCAGACAGGCCGUUUCCCGCUUUGGCAGCAGGAGCGGGUUCCCGUGCGACACCAGGCUGGCAUCUUCAGCGUGCAUGGAGCGCGCAGCAAAGUGGUCCACCAGGUCGGUGAGUUCCUUCAGCUGCGCAGGCGACGGGUUGAGGAAGCUGAAGUGGUAGGCCAGCUUCGCCGCCAGCACCUGCUUCGCAAUGUGCACACGGCCAACCAGGGUCAGAGACAGGGCAGCCCACAGACGCGCCACAAACGCCAUGCCGCGAGCCCGCCGGGUGAACAGGUCAGCUGCAGCCGCAUCAGAGUCCCACGACAGAGGCACCCCCAGGUGCGUCACGGCGCCAGUGGUAAACGGCACCCCCGUGUGUGGGCAAGGGCCCGUCAGGUGCGCAAACCUGCCAAGGCCCAUGGCCUUGCUCUUGUCCGGAUGGACACGGGCGUUGGACGCGCGGCAGAACAGCUGUACUGCCGCCAUCAGGACCGGCCCGUCCACCGCCGGGUCGCGCGCCGUGAGGGUCGUGUCGUCAGCAUGGUGGGCAGCAGGCGGCGCCUGCUCGCCGCUGGGUAACAGGGGCGUGCGCAGUGCCCCUUGCUCCACCUGCCGCCGCAGAAAGGACGUCAGUGGCUGCAUCUGGAUGACCCACAGGGGUGGUGAGGCGGUGCUGCCCUGCGGCAAGCCGUUCAGCACUGGGAAGGCGUCAGAGAGCAUCCCGUUCACACACACGCGGGCAGAGCCGUUGGCAGUGAGCAGGCGGAUCCAGCGCAGCAUGCGCGGCCCAAACCCCAGUCCCUCCGCGGACGCAUACAGCCACUGCCGGUGCACCCGGUCAUACGCCUUUUCAAUGUCCAAGAAGUACAGCGCACCACCCUGCCGUGGUGUGCCGUCCGCGCCCACGUCCAGGCGCAUCCAAUCGAUCAGGCCAUGCUUACCUGCCUUGCGGGCUGUACAGGGCGGGCAAGGGAAUUCGUCCACGGGUGACCACGGGGUGCGGGGGGUUGGGGGCGCACUGUCCUCACCCCGCCUGCGGGCCACCUGGCCCGCGGGCGUGGGCCAGCCUGACGCACAUCUUCCUGGAGUGUCCAGCUUAUGCGCAGGCGAGGACGUGGCUGCAGCAGCUGUGGGCCUGUGUUGCGCCCCAGGCAGUGGCGCCGCCAGUGACGGACGCGGGCUUCAUGCUGGGGGACCGCAUGGGUAUGUGGGCCUCAGGCCCGCGGGGGGCGGGAGCGCUGCUGUGGAGCACUUUGCGGGCCACCUUCUUGUACGCCGUCUGGUGUGCGUACUGGUCCCGCGAGCCUGCUAAGCAGACGUCGGAGCAUGUGGUUCGGGAGGUGAUCAGCGAGCUGCGCAGGGUGAUGCAGCUGCGUUUCACUGCCGCCACGCUAACCCCUGAAACCCUGUCGGCUCUGCCCACACAGCUUCUCACCGCACAGCUCAAGGCGGCUAAGCUGGAGCACUUUGUUGCCAUCUGGUCGGCGGGUGGCGCGCUUUGUGAAGUGGAGGAGGUUCAGGGUGGGUCACCGAAGUUGCACUUGCGGCUGACGCUUGCAUCACCUGUGCAGGCCCCCUAGGUUUCCUUUUGGGCGGCGCUUCUUUCCAGGCGCUGGCGUGGCGUAUUAUCGUCAUCAGCUGAUCUGGCGCCCAUGUGUUUUAGCUCUGGCUGGCGUCGCAGCGCCUGGGCGGCUGUGGGCCUUCCUGCACAGCGUGUCUUGCAGCGGGCUGGAGCCCGCUUGGUCAGCGCCACAUCUGGCCCGUUUAGUUUUCUGCUUGUGUCUCCUCUGCCGGUUCUCCUGGGGUGCUGCUUAAGCAACCGACUUGUGGGGGUGGGGUGGGUUUGGGCGGCGCGAGUGCGUAGCGCUGGUGUUUUCUUUUCUGGUGCGCGGUGGGGGUGGUUCUUGCGGUUAGGCUGUGGUGUAGUUUGGUGCUUGGGUUAGGUCUGGCGGUGUUUUUGUGCAACCCCUCCCGGGGGGCGGGGGGGCCAGCCUCCUGCUCUGUCUGCCGGGUCGGGGUGGGGUGGGGUGGGAUGGAUGGGGGUGUUUGGUGGCUGUUCUUUUUUUUUUUUAGGAAUCAUCCUUACAAGGUUGAACAGGGGCAGACGCGCUGCCCCCCUGCUGCCUGAAAGCAGCCUGGUCCCCGAGACCAGAACCCUGACAGGGCAAGAAGAGAAGAAAAGAGAAGAAAACAGAAAGCAAACACCUCGAAAACCGCCACCAACCACCCCCACCCAUCCCACCCCACCCCACCCCGACCCGGCAGACAGAGCAGGAGGCUGGCCCCCCCGCCCCCCGGGAGGGGUUGCACAAAAACACCGCCGGACCUAACCCAAGCACCUACCUACACCACAGCCUAACCGCAAGAACCACCACCACCGCGCGCCAGAAAAGAAAACACCAGCGCUACGCACUCGCCCCGCCCAAACCCACCCCACCCCCACAAGUCGGUUGCUUAAGCAACACCCCAGGAGAACCGGCAGAGGAGACACAAGCAGAAAACUAAGCGGGCCAGAUGUGGCGCUGACUAAGCGGGCUCCAGUCCGCUGCAAGACGCGCUGUGCAGGAAGUCCCACAGCCGCCCAGGCGCUGCGACGCCAGCCAGAGCUAAAACACAUGGGCGCCAGAUAAGCUGAUGACGAUAAUACGCCACGCCAGCGCCUGGAAAGAAGCGCCGCCCAAAAGGAAACCUAGGGGGCCUGCACAGGUGAUGCAAGCGUCAGCCGCAAGUGCAACUUCGGUGACCCACCCUGAACCUCCUCCACUGCACACAGCGCGCCACCCGCCGUCCAGAUGGCAACAAAGUGCUCCAGCUUAGCCGCCUUGAGCUGUGCGGUGAGAAGCUGAGUGGGCAGAGCCGACAGGGUUUCAGGGGUUAGCGUGGCGGCAGUGAAGCGCAGCCGCAUCACCCUGCGCAGCUCGCUGACCACCUCCCGAACCACAUGCUCCGACGUCUGCUUAGCAGGCUCGCGGGACCAGUACGCACACCAGACGGCGUACAAGAAGGUGGCCCGCAAAGUGCUCCACAGCAGCGCGCCCGCCCCCCGCGGGCCUGAGGCCCACAUACCCAUGCGGUCCCCCAGCAUGAAGCCCGCGUCCGUCACUGGCGGCGCCGCUGCCUGGGGCGCAACACAGGCCCACAGCUGCUGCAGCCACGUCCUCGCCUGCGCAUAAGCUGGACACUCCAGGAAGAUGUGCGUCAGGCUGGCCCACGCCCGCGGGCCAGGUGGCCCGCAGGCGGGGUGAGGACAGUGCGCCCCCAACCCCCCGCACCCCGUGGUCACCCGUGGACGAAUUCCCUUGCCCGCCCUGUACAGCCCGCAAGGCAGGUAAGCAUGUUGCAGCCGGUACACAAGUACCUUGGCCCCCCGACUGGCGUGGCUGUCCCACAGCCUCCGCCACGUACCCCGCAGAAGGGACGCAUCCGGGGGCGGCAUGCGAGGGUCGCCCUCCACUGCCGCUGCUGCUGCCGCCGCCGCCGUGGCAGGCCCUGUGCUAGGCCCCGCCCCGCCCGCCGCCUGCUCCUGCAGCCGCGCGGACCGCCGCAGCCCCUCACCUGACUGCUGGGACGGGGACGCAUACGACUGCAGUUUUCUCGCCGGCGUAUUCUGCAGCCCGGCUGCCGCAGAGGUGCGGUGGAGCCAGGGGUCCAGAGCCACCGGGUUAUUGUGGAAAUGCUGCGCCGCCGUGGUGGUCAGCUGCGCCGCUGCACGCUGCCACUCCGCCUCCCGCUCCACCAGCCGCGACUGUGCCGCCGGCUGUGUCCCCGAACCCCCCGCCUGCUGUGCUGGCGCUGGGCACGGCAUGGCUGCAGGGCGUGCCGGAGCCGGAGGUGCGGCCGGGUUAGCCGCGGUGAUGGCCCGCCGCACGUCCCGCACCGUGUAGUCCGCCAAGCUGACACCCGCAAUCCGGCAGUGCUCCGGGUGCACCACCACCCCAGUCUCCGGCGCCAGGAAGUACGGCGCCCGAGGCCACGCCCCCGCCCGUUCCCCUGGUGAUGCUGCAUCGUACGCCGCCCGCUCUUCAAAGGUCCACAGGUGCCGCGGCUUGCGAUGCUGCAGCACACAGGCAGGCUGCCACGCCCCAUCCACCGCCGGGGGCAGCACGCCAGGCCCAGGCUCCAAGAGCCGCCCCGUGUAGUGGACGUAGGACACAGCCCCCGCAGCGUUAGCCACCCACAGCUGGUCCAGGCUAACCCGCCACUGUGGCGGCGCCGCUGGCGGCUGAGUGGCUGGCUGCGGUGGAUGCUGUUCCACGCCCGCGCUCCGCACGUGGCCGACCGCGGCCGCCAGCCGGGCAGGCAGCCCCGCUGGCGCCGGCGCGUCGCUGUACACCCACGCCCACGUGGUGGCGGAGUCCGGGCGCACAUGGGUAAGCAGCGCCCGGGUGAGCAUCUUCCAGGGUUGCCGGCCUGGCUGGGCAAGGAGGGCGAAAGUCUUAGCUUGCAGGGCAGACAGGAACGCAGGCAGGUCGACGUGGUUGACACCCCCGUCCUUGUACGGCAGACAUGCCGUUUCCCGCUUUGGCAGCAGGAGCGGGUUCCCGUGCGACACCAGGCUGGUGCCUCAGCGUGCAUGGAGCGCGCAGCAAAGUGGUCCACCAGGUCGGUGAGUUCCUUCAGCUGCGCAGGCGACGGGUUGAGGAAGCUGAAGUGGUAGGCCAGCUUCGCCGCCAGCACCUGCUUCGCAAUGUGCACACGGCCAACGAGAGUCAGAGACAGGGCAGCCCACAGACGCGCCACAAACGCCAUGCCGCGAGCCCGCCGGGUGUACAAGUCAGCUGCAGCCGCAUCCGAGUCCCAUGACAGGGGCACACCCAGGUGCGUCACGGCGCCAGUGGUAAACGGCACCCCCGUGUGUGGGCAAGGGCCCGUCAGGUGCGCAAACCUGCCAAGGAAUAAUAAUAAUAAUACCUACGCUCGGACCAAGGUCCCGCGUGCCUUAAGGAAGAGUCCCAUCGAGGCUAACCCUACCGUAUCUCUGUGGGACCUUGGCAAGAGGCACCCCACGCAUCCACCUUCACUCAGUCCAUAGGAACCGAAGUUCUGGACCUAUCGGCCUACCAACUCUCCGAAUUCGGCCAUCGUGAAGUUUCCGCGUUGCAACAAUGGGAUCCGAACCCAGAGAGUCGCUACAACGCUUCCGUCAGUACCGCGGACUCCAUACCGGAAUACUGACUCGGUUCCCCGGGCAGGAUCCGAACCUGCAUCUAUACUUGUCAGCCUCAACCCGGCCGAAUCCGUGAAUCGAACCUGGGUCUGCCAUGUGACAGCGGCAUGCUCUACCAAUUGAGCUACCGGGGAACCUGCCAAGGCCCAUGGCCUUGCUCUUGUCCGGAUGGACACGGGCGUUGAACGCGCGGCAGAACAGCUGUACUGCCGCCAUCAGGACCGGCCCGUCCACCGCCGGGUCGCGCGCCGUGAGGGUCGUGUCGUCAGCGUGGUGGGCAGCAACCUUUUUUUUUGAGGAAACAUCCUUACAAGGUUGACCAGGGGCAGACGCGCUGCCCCCCUGCUGCCUAAAAGCAGCCUGGUCCCCGAGACCAGAACCCUGACAGGGCAAGAAGAGAAGAAAAGAGAAGAAAACAGGAAGCAAACACCUCGAAAACCGCCACCAACCACCCCCAUCCAUCCCACCCCACCCCACCCCGACCCGGCAGACAGAGCAGGAGGCUGGCCCCCCCGCCCCCCGGGAGGGGUUGCACAAAAACACCGCCAGACCUAACCCAAGCACCAACCUACACCACAGCCUAACCGCAAGAACCACCACCACCGCGCGCCAGCAAAGAAAACACCAGCGCUACGCACUCGCCCCGCCCAAACCCACCCCACCCCCACAAGUCGGUUGCUUAAGCAACACCCCAGUAGAACCGGCAGAGGAGACACAAGCAGAAAACUAAACGGGCCAGAUGUGGCGCUGACUAAGCGGGCUCCAGUCCGCUGCAAGACGCGCUGUGCAGGAAGUCCCACAGCCGCCCAGGCGCUGCCACUCCAGCCAGAGCUAGUACUCAUGGGCGCCAGACAAGCUGAUGACGAUAAUACGCCACGCCAGCGCCUGGAAAGAAAAGCUGCCCAGAAGGAAACCUAGGGGGCCUGCACAGGUGAUGCAAGCGUCAGCCGCAAGUUCAACUUCGGUGACCCACCCUGAACCUCCUCCACUUCACAAAGCGCGCCACCCGCCGUCCAGAUGGCAACAAAAUGCUCCAGCUUAGCCGCCUUGAGCUGUGCGGUGAGAAGCUGAGUGGGCAGAGCCGACAGGGUUUCAGGGGUUAGCGUGGCGGCAGUGAAACGCAGCUGCAUCACCCUGCGCAGCUCGCUGACCACCUCCCGAACCACAUGCUCCGACGUCUGCUUAGCAGGCUCGCGGGACCAGUACGCACACCAGACGGCGUACAAGAAGGUGGCCCGCAAAGUGCUCCACAGCAGCGCUCCCGCCCCCCGCGGGCCUGAGGCCCACAUACCCAUGCGGUCCCCCAGCAUGAAGCCCGCGUCCGUCACUGGCGGCGCCACUGCCUGGGGCGCAACACAGGCCCACAGCUGCUGCAGCCACGUCCUCGCCUGCGCAUAAGCUGGACACUCCAGGAAGAUGUGCGUCAGGCUGGCCCACGCCCGCGGGCCAGGUGGCCCGCAGGCGGGGUGAGGACAGUGCGCCCCCAACCCCCCGCACCCCGUGGUCACCCGUGGACGAAUUCCCUUGCCCGCCCUGUACAGCCCGCAAGGCAGGUAAGCAUGGUGCAGCCGGUACACAAGUACCUUUGCCCCCCGACUGGCGUGGCUGUCCCACAGCCUCCGCCACGUACCCCGCAGAAGGGACGCAUCCGGGGGCGGCAUGCGAGGGUCGCCCUCCACUGCCGCCGCUGCUGCCGCCGCCGCCGUGGCAGGCCCCGUGCUAGGCCCCGCCCCGCCCGCCGCCUGCUCCUGCAGCCGCGCGGACCGCCGCGGCCCCUCACCUGACUGCUGGGACGGGGACGCAUACGACUGCAGUUCUCUCGCUGGCGUGUUCUGCAGCCCGGCUGCCGCAGAGGUGCGGUGGAGCCAGGGGUCCAGAGCCACCGGGUUAUUGUGGAAAUGCUGCGCCGCCGUGGUGGUCAGCUGCGCCGCUGCACGCUGCCACUCCGCCUCCCGCUCCACCAGCCGCGACUGUGCCGCCGGCUGGGUCCCCGAACCCCCCACCUGCUGUGCUGGCGCUGGGCACGGCAUGGCUGCAGGGCGGGCCGGAGCCGGUGGUGCGGCCGGGUUAGCCGCGGUGAUGGCCCGCCGCACGUCCCGCACCGUGUAGUCCGCCAAGCUGACACCCGCAAUCCGGCAGUGCUCCGGGUGCACCACCACCCCAGCCACCGGUGCCAGGAAGUACGGCGCCCGAGGCCACGCCCCCGCCCGUUCCCCUGGUGAUGCUGCAUCGUACGCCGCCCGCUCUUCAAAGGUCCACAGGUGCCGCGGCUUGCGAUGCUGCAGCACACAGGCAGGCUGCCACGCCCCAUCCAUUUUCGCGUGCCCUACCGUGUGGCGUUGCGGGUGGGUGCGUAACGCGUGUCCGGUCGCCCUACGUACGUGUGGGCGCUGGGUGCUAAGUGGUGUAGUCCGCCGCUCUGCUCUACGCUACGCUUCGAGGAGCUACGGCGAGGGGGAAGCACCCGUGCUGCUGCAGCUCCCCUGAGGGCCGAGCGGCAGCAGCAGCCCUCUCCACAGCAGCGGGUGGCAGCGGGAGGGCUUAGCGGGGGGCAGCCGUCGGCAGGUGUGGGGGGGCCGCUGGCGGCCAGGCGUCACACUGCCGAUGCCGGGCCGGCUGGCGCGCAGCAGCAGCCAAGUAGGGCUCCCACGCCGCAGCCGCCCUUUGAUCAGCGGGCAGCUGCUAGGCAGGAGCAGAAGCUGCAAGUUGUGAUGCGGCGGUACUUGGCCGAUUUGGCGGAACUCACUCUCCAGCAGCAACGGCGGGUACAGCAACAGCAGCAGCAGGAGCAGCAGCGCCAGGUGCAGUCGCUUAUGCCCCGGACCGGCUCCCGGUUUGGGGUCCUGGCCACACUGGGGGGACAGGACGGGGCGGGUGAUGGCGCUGCCACAGCGGCGUCCGGGCGUGGGCGACGGGUGCAACCAGCCGCGCACGCACCGCAGCCGCCGCCGCAGAAACAGCCCCGCUCCAAAGGGCGCAGUGGCCCCGCCCAGCUUCCGCAGCAGAGGGCAGGGCGCUUGGGCGGCGGGCUGCCUCCCCCGCAGGACAGUGCUAGCUCGCCGCCGCACGUGCCCACUGGGCGGCCGGCGGGGGGACAGCAGGCUGGUGGGGGCAGCGGGUCGGGGCGCCAAGGUGGAGGAGCGGGGCGGGCAGUGCCCCAGCCGCCGCCCCAGGCGGGGCCGCCACUGCAGACGUCACAACCGGCGGGUGGUGGUAAGGGCAGGGGCAGGGGCCUGGGCGUGCCGGCUGGGGUUUCGGCCGACACGGCUGGGCGCGCUGGUGGGGGUGCGGGCAGUGAGGCGGAGUACGGGGCCGUUUGCCUGACCCGCGACACGUGUGUUGCCAUCGGCUCUGACCUCGUGACUUACCAGAACCGCUGCGCAGAUGUGCAGGGGUAUGAGUGGGCGCAGCUUGGCCGCGACGCGCUUGGUGGCCGCCUCCUCGGCUACCUCCGUGACCAGGGCGCCACCGUACCGGACUGGGCUGUCUGCCGUGUGCCGGCAGGCCGUACCGCCGUCCUGGCACAGCUGCGCGACGAGUUCACUGGCUGGUGGCGCCUGUACUCAGCCCAGCCUGCAGGCACGCCCCUGCCUUCCGACGUGACGGAGCAGCUGGAUGACGCCGCGCAGCAGGUGCAGACGGCCUACAUGGACUACGUGCUCCUAGACGCCCGCACCCUGCGGUCCGCUAAGCGUGGGCCGGCGGACCCCGGCGGUGCUGGGGGGCCCAGCCGCCGGCAACGCCAGCACCGCAGCCGCAGUACUUCCAGCCUCAUGAGCCUGGGCAGCGCUCCACUGCGCCCCGGCGGCGCCAGCUCAGGCGCCGCUAGCAUGAGCACCAGCUGCGGCGGCGCGCCCCCCAGCCAGGGUGGCGGCCACCGCCGCAAUCGCCACAGCAGCAACAGCAACCGCAACCGCCACGGCGCUGCCGUGGCCGGCGGGGGCUCAUAAUGCGGCCACCAGUAGGAGCGGCGAACCUUCGGCUGCUUUUUUUUUUUUUGAGGAAUCAUCCUUACAAGGUUGACCAGGGGCAGACGCGCUGCCCCCCUGCUGCCUGAAAGCAGCCUGGUCCCCGAGACCAGAACCCUGAUAGGGCAAGAAGAGAAGAAAAGAGAAGAAGACAGAAAGCAAACACCUCGAACACCGCCACUCACCACCCCCAUCCAACCCACCCCACCCCACCCCGACCCGGCAGACAGAGCAGGAGGCUGGCCCCCCCGCCCCCCGGGAGGGGUUGCACAAAAACACCGCCAGACCUAACCCAAGCACCAACCUACACCACAGCGUAACCGCAAGAACCACCACCACCGCGCGCCAGCAAAGAAAACACCAGCGCUACACACUCGCGCCGCCCAAACCCACCCCACCCCCACAAGUCGGUUGCUUAAGCAACACCCCAGUAGAACCGGCAGAGGAGACACAAGCAGAACACUAAACGGGCCAGAUGUGGCGCUGACUAAGCGGGCUCCAGUCCGCUGCAAGACGCGCUGUGCAGGAAGUCCCACAGCCGCCCAGGCGCUGCCACUCCAGCCAGAGCUAGUACUCAUGGGCGCCAGACAAGCUGAUGACGAUAAUACGCCACGCCAGCGCCUGGAAAGAAAUGCUGCCCAGAAGGAAAUCUAGGGGGCCUGCACAGGUGAUGCAAGCGUCAGCCGCAAGUUCAACUUCGGUGACCCACCCUGAACCUCCUCCACUUCACAAAGCGCGCCACCCGCCGUCCAGAUGGCAACAAAAUGCUCCAGCUUAGCCGCCUUGAGCUGUGCGGUGAGAAGCUGAGUGGGCAGAGCCGACAGGGUUUCAGGGGUUAGCGUGGCGGCAGUGAAACGCAGCCGCAUCACCCUGCGCAGCUCGCUGACCACCUCCCGAACCACAUGCUCCGACGUCUGCUUAGCAGGCUCGCGGGACCAGUACGCACACCAGACGGCGUACAAGAAGGUGGCCCGCAAAGUGCUCCACAGCAGCGCUCCCGCCCCCCGCGGGCCUGAGGCCCACAUACCCAUGCGGUCCCCCAGCAUGAAGCCCGCGUCCGUCACUGGCGGCGCCGCUGCCUGGGGCGCAACACAGGCCCACAGCUGCUGCAGCCACGUCCUCGCCUGCGCAUAAGCUGGACACUCCAGGAAGAUGUGCGUCAGGCUGGCCCACGCCCGCGGGCCAGGUGGCCCGCAGGCGGGGUGAAGACAGUGCGCCCCCAACCCCCCGCACCCCGUGGUCACCCGUGGACGAAUUCCCUUGCCCGCCCUGUACAGCCCGCAAGGCAGGUAAGCAUGUUGCAGCCGGUACACAAGUACCUUUGCCCCCCGACUGGCGUGGCUGUCCCACAGCCUCCGCCACGUACCCCGCAGAAGGGACGCAUCCGGGGGCGGCAUGCGAGGGUCGCCCUCCACUGCCGCCGCUGCUGCCGCCGCCGCCGUGGCAGGCCCCGUGCUAGGCCCCGCCCCGCCCGCCGCCUGCUCCUGCAGCCGCGCGGACCGCCGCGGCCCCUCACCUGACUGCUGGGACGGGGACGCAUACGACUGCAGUUCUUUCGCUGGCGUGUUCUGCAGCCCGGCUGCCGCAGAGGUGCGGUGGAGCCAGGGGUCCAGAGCCACCGGGUUAUUGCGGAAAUGCUGCGCCGCCGUGGUGGUCAGCUGCGCCGCUGCACGCUGCCACUCCGCCUCCCGCUCCACCAGCCGCGACUGUGCCGCCGGCUGGGUCCCCGAACCCCCCGCCUGCUGUGCUGGCGCUGGGCACGGCAUGGCUGCAGGGCGGGCCGGAGCCGGAGGUGCGGCCGGGUUGCUGACAGUGAAUGUCAACGGCCUGGGCUCGCCGUCUAAGGCGCGGGCGCUGGUCUCGCACCUGCAGCAAGUUGGGGCGGAUGUGGCGAUGGUGCAGGAGACCCACGCUACUGACACGACCGCGCUGGAGUCUUGCCUCCGUGCCGCGCAGGGGGCGUGCCUUCCGUGGCGCCACUGCCUCGCUGCCAGCCCGGCAGCGUCGCCCCACUCCUGUGGGGCGGCUAUCCUGGCGCGGAGUCGGCUGUCCCUUCCAGGCUGCGUACUGCAGCCGCCGUCAACGGAUGCGGCGGGCCGUGUGGUAUGUUGGGAUUGGGACGUGGGUCACCUGCGCCUGCGCUUCGUGUGUGUGUAUGCGCCCACGGCCGUGGCGGACAAGCCUGCUUUCUUUGCCGGGCUGCAUCCCCACCUGGCCACGGACAGGGUGCUUGUUGUCGGUGGGGACUGGAACUGUGUCACCGAUGCCAGUCAGGAGGCGGCCCCUAGCCCGUCACGUGCUGCAGGUGCCCCGCAACUUGCCAGCCUCCUCGCCCAGUUCAGUCUGGUGGACCCUUGGGCGAGCAAGCGUGGCGGCGCCAAGGGCUACACGCAUCCGGCCACACCCAAGCCGGCCACUCCCGCACGCCUGGAUCGGUGGUAUGUCAGUGCCACCGCGGCGCCGUGGGUGGUGGAUGUCGCUCGCACGUAUGGGGCACCUGGGGACCACAACGGUGUGCUGCUCACCCUGGCCUUGCCCGACCUGCCACAUGCGCACCGGGAGCAGUGGCGCUUCCCCACGUACCUGCUGUUUCACCCCUCGCUGCGUUUGGAGCUCGAGCAGCGCUUGGAGGCGCACGUUGCCGCAAAUCCCGUGGCCAGUACAGGUGACGGCGCUUGCACGCAAUGGGAGGCGGACAAGUUCUUCUUGCGGGAGGCCGCCACCAGCAUCCACCGUCGGCAUGCACGCCAGACCCGGGAUGGGCUGCAUGGCGUGGUGCUGGCCGCAGACGCGGCCGCUGCCCUGGCCGACCGGCCGGGUGCCAGCACCGCGCAGCGUCAGGCUGCGGCCAUGGCCAACUUGGCGGUGCGGGAGGAGCGGGCAGCUGCCGCAGCGGCCAGCCACAAUGCCCGCGCUGCACUGAUGGAGGAGCAUGGGGAGCGGGGCACUCGCUGGUUCCAUCGGCAGGCUGACGAGCCAGCAGCCGGCGCGCAGGAGCCCAUCACGCACUUGAAGGUGCCGGGGCAACCGGCGCCUGUGGCGCUGACGGGGCCGGGCACGCGCAACACUGUCUCCGCCGCCGCCGCAGCCAUGUACAGCAGCACCAGCCCCACCGGCCUGUUCCGCGUGCAGCCGGUCUGUACGGCGUCGCAGCAACAGCUUCUGGCGGCCAUUGACCGCAAGGUUCCAGCGGAUCUGCACGCCGCCGCAGAGGGGUCCGGUGACGGCGCCCUCAGUGAUGCCGAGCUGAUGGCAGCGCUGGCUGGCUCCGCCAAUGGUAAAGCGCCUGGGUCGGACGGGGUCCCGUACGAGGUGUACAAGGUUUUCUGGGCACUGCUGGGCCCGCGCUUGUGUGCUGCUGCUGCCGCUGCCUUUGCUGCCGCUGCAGACGCCCACGAUGGCGGCGAAAUGGCGGCGGCGCUGCCCGCCUCCUGGCGGGAGGGCAUCAUCACGCUCAUCUACAAGGGCAAAAGCCUGGACCGCGCCGAGCUGGCGUCCUACCGGCCCAUCACGCUGCUCAACUGCGACUUCAAGAUGGUGUCCAAGGCCGUCAGCGCCCGCCUGCAGCCCGCCCUGGAUGCAGUUGUGGAUGAGCUGCAGACCGCGUUCAUCACCGGCCGCUGGAUUGGAGACAACGCGCUGUACCUCCAAGGCCUGAUCGAAUGGAUGCGCCUGGACGUGGGCGCGGACGGCACGCCACGGCAGGGUGGUGCGCUGUACUUCUUGGACAUCGAAAAGGCGUAUGACUGGGUGCACCGGCAGUGGCUGUAUGCGUCCGCGGAGGGUCUGGGGUUUGGGCCGCGCAUGCUGCGCUGGAUCCGCCUGAUCACUGCCAACGGCUCUGCCCGCGUGUGUGUGAACGGGAUGCUUUCUGACGCCUUCCCAGUGCUGAACGGCUUGCCGCAGGGCAGCACCGCCUCACCACCCCUGUGGGUCAUCCAGAUGCAGCCACUGACGUCCUUUCUGCGGCGGCAGGUGGAGCAAGGGGCACUGCGCACGCCCCUGUUACCCAGCGGCGAGCAGGCGCCGCCUGCUGCCCACCACGCUGACGACACGACCCUCACGGCGCGCGACCCGGCAGUGGACGGGCCGGUCCUGAUGGCGGCAGUACAGCUGUUCUGCCGCGCGUCCAACGCCCGUGUCCAUCCGGACAAGAGCAAGGCCAUGGGCCUUGGCAGGUUUGCGCACCUGACGGGCCCUUGCCCACACACGGGGGUGCCGUUUACCACUGGCGCCGUGACGCACCUGGGUGUGCCCCUGUCGUGGGACUCGGAUGCGGCUGCAGCUGACUUGUACACCCGGCGGGCUCGCGGCAUGGCGUUUGUGGCGCGUCUGUGGGCUGCCCUGUCUCUGACUCUCGUUGGCCGUGUGCACAUUGCAAAGCAGGUGCUGGCGGCGAAGCUGGCCUACCACUUCAGCUUCCUCAACCCGUCGCCUGCGCAGCUGAAGGAACUCACCGACCUGGUGGACCACUUUGCUGCG